AUUGAACCAUACCCCCUCUCCCGCUGACGCCCGGACCGGCAUGUCAUCCCCGACCCCGAGCCGGUGUCCACCUCCAUGGCGGAGUCCGGCCCGAGCACCGCCUCGCCGUGUAGCCCCGCGCCGCCUCUCGAUCCCUGCAUGAAUGGAGGCGCUCCACCGCACCUCGACCCGAGUCCGCAGCCCUCGAAACCCUUCGAAUCCGAGCUCCAAUUUCUUGUGGUGCCGCUGCCGCCGCCACCGCCACAGCUCCGGCCGAGCCCAGCCGACGCCAGAGAUCACCACUGCCGUUUCCAAGGAGAGCAACGGAACCGCCGGUCAAGCCGAACCUCUCGAAUCCGAGCUCCAAAUCGAGCUGGAGUACUCGUCGGCGCCGCCACAGCUUCGACAGAGCCCAGCCGACGCCAGAGAACACCACCGACGUCUCCCAAGAUAGAAACGGAAUCGCCGACUCAAGGCAAAUCUCUUGGACGCCUUCCCGAGGAGCAAGGUUCACCGGAGCCAGCUCAGCGGCAAGCCCCAAAGCCGCCGGCGCCGCCUGAACGCAUCUGAACCAAUAGAUCAAAACGUUCCACAUAUAUGUUGUUGAGAAAGUUGCACAGCAUCUUGGUAUGGAUGAUCCUUCAAAACUUCGCCUUACAAAGCACAUCCCGCAUUUACAGCAACCAGAUGUCUGACAUUUUUUAUUAUGAGACACUGACAUUCCUUUGCCAGAACUGCAAGGUCCGAUAACAUUGAGUUGCUUUUCACCAAGCUACACACAAUGAGGUUGAGUUAUCACAAGGUGAUGCUGGACUUAGCUAUUUCAGGUCAACAAUAACAAGAUAUGGAAGGUGUACCAGCCAACUGAGAAAAUAGAUGCAGUUCAUGAUCCAAACCUCUUUAUGUUGAGGAGGCAAUGUGUGAUGCCAUUUGCAACCUUCUUGUUGAGCAAGCUGAAACAGGAGUAACUCCAUUAAUCAUUCUGUAGAUGAUGACUUCUUGGAAACGAAACAGGUUGCAAGUUCAUCUGUAUCACCCAAAUCAAGGGAGGCAAGUAAUGUUUGCAAGAAAAAGAAAAGGUGCCGCACCUCCAAAUGUUCAAGACUCUCUUUCCUCCCUUAGCAUGUUUUUGCCUUUUGGAUUAAUAUAUUGUAGGUUAUUUUUGAAUAGUAUCUAGAGAAAUUAUG